UACGUAGGGUGCAAGCGUUGUCCGGAAUUAUUGGGCGUAAAGAGCUCGUAGGCGGCUCGUCGCGUCGGCUGUGAAAACCUGGGGCUCAACCCCGGGCCUGCAGCCGAUACGGGCGAGCUAGAAUUCGGUAGGGGAGACUGGAAUUCCUGGUGUAGCGGUGAAAUGCGCAGAUAUCAGGAGGAACACCGGUGGCGAAGGCGGGUCUCUGGACAGGUGACUGACGUGAGACGCGAAAGCGUGGGUAGCAAACAGG
rnacentral:rRNA from 1 species